rnacentral:misc_RNA from 1 species
ACAGCAGUUCCACACCACCCAGU